rnacentral:rRNA from 1 species
CCUACGGGCGGCAGCAGUGGGGAAUAUUGCGCAAUGGCCGAAAGCCUGACGCAGCGACGCCGCGUGAGGGAUGAAGGUCUUCGGAUCGUAAACCUCUGUCAGCAGGGAGGAACGGUCACUGUGCUAAUCAGCAGUGAAUUGACGGUACCUGCAACGGCAGCACCGGCUAACUCCGUGCCCGCAGCCGCGGUAAUACGGCGGGUGCGAGCGUUAAUCGGAAUUACUGGGCGUAAAGCGCUCGUAGGCGGUAUGUCAAGUCAAGGGUGAAAUCCCCGGGCUCAACGUGGGAACUGCCUUUGAAACGGGCAAACUGGAGUGUGUGAGAGGAUAGUGGAAUUCGAGGUGUAGGAGUGAAAUCCGUAGAUAUCUGGAGGAACAUCAGUGGCGAAGGCGACUAUCUGGCACAUAACUGACGCUGAGGAGCGAAAGCGUGGGUAGCAAACAGGAUUAGAUACCCCUGUAGUC